rnacentral:rRNA from 1 species
CAGCCGCCGCGGGAAUACGUAGGUGGCAAGCGUUGUCCGGAUUUAUUGGGCGUAAAGCGAGCGCAGGCGGUCAAUUAAGUCUGAUGUGAAAGCCCCCGGCUCAACCGGGGAGGGUCAUUGGAAACUGGUUGACUUGAGUGCAGAAGAGGAGAGUGGAAUUCCAUGUGUAGCGGUGAAAUGCGUAGAGAUGUGGAGGAACACCAGUGGCGAAGGCGACUCUCUGGUCUGUAACUGACGCUGAGGAGCGAAAGCGUGGGGAGCGAACAGGAUUAGAUACCCCAGUAGUCCCUGUCUCUUAUAC